rnacentral:rRNA from 1 species
CCCUUAGAUGUUCUGGGCAGCACGCGCGCUACAAUGGUCUUCGCAAACGGAUGCAUUCUCGAAGGAGAAUGCCAAUCUUGGAAUCUAUGCCUUGGUCGGGACAGUUGCUUGCAAUUUUUCGACUCGAACCAGGAAUUCCUUGUAAUCGUGAUUCAUCACAUCACGAUGAAUACGUCCCUGCCCUUUGUUCACACCGCCCGUCGCUCCUACCGAUCGAAGAGUUAGGUGAAUUGUUUUGAUCGAUAAGAUUUGACUAUGGUCAACUCUCGUUGUGAAAUUCUGUGAAUCUGACUGUUUAGAGGAAGGAAAAGUCGUAACA